rnacentral:rRNA from 1 species
UUAAUGAGAGUUUGAUCCUGGCUCAGGACGAACGCUGGCGGCGUGCCUAAUACAUGCAAGUAGAACGCUGAGGUUUGGUGUUUACACUAGACUGAUGAGUUGCGAACGGGUGAGUAACGCGUAGGUAACCUGCCUCAUAGCGGGGGAUAACUAUUGGAAACGAUAGCUAAUACCGCAUAAGAGUAAUUAACACAUGUUAGUUAUUUAAAAGGAGCAAUUGCUUCACUGUGAGAUGGACCUGCGUUGUAUUAGCUAGUUGGUGAGGUAAAGGCUCACCAAGGCGACGAUACAUAGCCGACCUGAGAGGGUGAUCGGCCACACUGGGACUGAGACACGGCCCAGACUCCUACGGGAGGCAGCAGUAGGGAAUCUUCGGCAAUGGACGGAAGUCUGACCGAGCAACGCCGCGUGAGUGAAGAAGGUUUUCGGAUCGUAAAGCUCUGUUGUUAGAGAAGAACGUUGGUAGGAGUGGAAAAUCUACCAAGUGACGGUAACUAACCAGAAAGGGACGGCUAACUACGUGCCAGCAGCCGCGGUAAUACGUAGGUCCCGAGCGUUGUCCGGAUUUAUUGGGCGUAAAGCGAGCGCAGGCGGUUCUUUAAGUCUGAAGUUAAAGGCAGUGGCUUAACCAUUGUACGCUUUGGAAACUGGAGGACUUGAGUGCAGAAGGGGAGAGUGGAAUUCCAUGUGUAGCGGUGAAAUGCGUAGAUAUAUGGAGGAACACCGGUGGCGAAAGCGGCUCUCUGGUCUGUAACUGACGCUGAGGCUCGAAAGCGUGGG